rnacentral:rRNA from 1 species
GACGUAGGGAGCGAGCGUUGUCCGGAUUCAUUGGGCGUAAAGCGCGCGUAGGCGGUUUGGUAAGUCGGAUGUGAAAUCCCGAGGCUCAACCUCGGGACUGCAUCCGAUACUGCCCGACUAGAGGUAGGUAGGGGAGAUCGGAAUUCCUGGUGUAGCGGUGAAAUGCGUAGAUAUCAGGAGGAACACCGGUGGCGAAGGCGCUCAUCUGGCCCAAUACUGACGCUGAGGCGCGAAAGCUAGGGGAGCAAACGGG